GGUAUCUUGACCGUGCAAAGGUAGCAUAAUCAUUAGUUUUUUAAUUGAAAGCUGGAAUGAAAGGUUGGAUGAAAAAUAAGCUGUCUCUAUUUAAAUUUAAUAGAAUUUUAUUUUUAAGUUAAAAAGCUUAAAUUUUAAUAGAAGACGAGAAGACCCUAUAGAGUUUUAUUUAUUUUAUAAAUAAAAAUAAUAGUAUUAAUUAUUUUUAUUUAUAAAAUAAAUUUAGUUGGGGUGAUUAAAAAAUUUAAUAAACUUUUUUUAUAUAUACACAUUAAUUUAUGAUUAUUUGAUCCUUAGUUUAAGAUUAAAAGAUAAAAUUACCUUAGGGAUAACAGCGUAAUUUUUUUUGAGAGUUCUAAUCGAAAAAAAAGAUUGCGACCUCGAUGUUGGAUUAAAAUAAAAUUUUGGUGUAGAAGCUAAAA
rnacentral:rRNA from 1 species